rnacentral:rRNA from 1 species
GAAUCAACGCUGGCGGCGUGCCUAACACAUGCAAGUCGCACGAGAAAGGGGAGCAAUCCCUGAGUAAAGUGGCGCACGGGUGAGUAACACGUGACUAACCUACCCUCGAGUGGGGAAUAACCUAGAGAAAUCUGGGCUAAUACCGCAUAACACUUACGAGUCAAAGCAGCAAUGCGCUUGAGGAGGGGGUCGCGGCAGAUUAGCUAGUUGCGGGGUAAUGGCCACCAGGCAAUGAUCUGUAUCCGGCCUGAGAGGGCGCACGGACACACUGG